AAAUGUGAAGGCAGCACACAUCGCACAGAGCCGCUUGGCCACCCAUGCGCCUAGAAGCUGCAAGGGCCUGGCGGCUGCUUCCUCAGAGCUGCGGUAAGUGCUGCUCGGAUCCCGCAUCCCCAUCACCUGCCCCAGCCCGGAGUCCCCUCCCGUAUCCCAAACCCCUCAUCUCUGGCCCCACCCCCGAGCCCACACCCCCAGCCGGAUCCCAUAUGCCCUCCCGCACCCUAACCCUCUGCCCCAGCCUAGUGAAAGUGAGUGAUGGUGGGGAAGAGUCAGCGAUGGAGGGAGGGGCAUGGAGAGACUGGGAGGUGAGUCUGGGAGAAGGGGCGGGGCAGAGCUGUUUGGUUUUGUGUGAUUAGAAAGUUGGCAACCCGAAAUCUGUCACCGCUAGCUCUGGGGGAAAUGGUGUCAGCGACACACGUACACAUACACACACUCAGGAACAAUCCUAUGGAGCUGUGAAUUGAGUGCCGGAGGAGUGGUGCUGUUUACGUGUAUGGUGAGUGUGGCCAUAGGGAAGGGCUGGGCUGAUGCGGGCAUGGUCAGCAAGGAUGUUGAUUCCAGAGGCUGUGGGGGGAAGGUUUUAGUCCAGUAAUGGCUGCAGCCGGGGUAGCCAAUAGGCGCCAAAUCUGCACUGCCAGAUGCUUUUAAAAGGACCUUGAAAUCUUUGUAUUUACUAAUUAUUAUCAGUUUUUUUUUUAAUUAUUUUCUCUGGAAGCUGGACCUUGACCAUAAACAAUUGACUUGACUAUGCCCGGCCUGAGGUGAGUGGGCUGGUGUUUUGGAGCUGGUUCCAGGGGGAAGGGUUUGGGUGACACACACAGCGAUCAGGACGGUGUGUUCUGCAGGGGAAGGGUUUAGCUGACGCACACUGCAAGGCGGGCUAUGAAUCAGGGGAAGGGUGUGAGCGAUGCACGGGGUGGUCAGGGUUGUUGGUUCCGGGGAAGGGGGCCGGGUCGCUCCGAUGUCAUCGUGCUGCGCGCGAAGGGCCGGUUCUGAUAUGUCCGCGCUAGGCGGAGGGUGCGGGCGGAGGCGGACUCGGCGGGGCUGCGGGUAUUUCGGUCUGAGCGCCCGCUGCUUUCAGCCCUGCCCCGGGCGGGGCCCCGAUCGAGCUGUUCCACCCCCCGCUAGGGCCGCCCUGCUGGCGCCCCGGGCCGGUUGUGCUGGCUGCUCGCGAGCCGCGCGGUCCUGUCCUGAUACGCUCUGGCGCUUUCCCCCGUUUUCUUGUAGCUGUAAUAGCCGGGCCGGCAGGGAGACUCUCCGUGCCAAAGGAGAGGUCUUCAGGAGGAAGUUGUUAGAAAACAGGCUUCAUAAUGGAAACCGUGUUGCAGUUUCAACCUUGCUAUUGCUGUCAGCUAGCGUAACUGGAGAAGUAAUGACACGGUUCCGAAGAUGCCGAAGUAUUUCCAAUUUGAUUUCGACUGGCCUUUGGGGAUGUUGAAGAAAAAUUUAAUGUUGUUCAACAUUGUGCAAGCUGUUCAAAAGAAAAGUGGAGAAUUUGAUGUAAGAUUUAUAUUUCUGCUUCUGCAUCGUGGUCUAUGAGAUUAGGAGUGUGUCACUGUAUUGUGGCUCCCACUGGCAAGUGAAAAAAUUCCUGGUCUACAACAGUGUUAAAUUAAGCCAAAUACUUAUUUUAUUAGACUUCUCUAAAUCUAAUGUGAAUUAGAAGCACAAUGCUUAACAUCUUUAAGAUAUUGAACAAAUAUUAAGGCUCACAACCUCUUUAAAGUUGGUACUGCAGCUAUGUCUUAUCCUCAUAUUUGCAGAUGGGAAACUGAAGCAAAGACAUGCAGUGACUUGCUCAAGGUCACUCACUGAGCUUUGUGUGUAUAUAAAAAGAUCUUCUACACUUUCCACAGUAUGCAUCCGAUGAAGUGAGCUGUAGCUCACGAAAGCUUAUGCUCAAAUAAAUUUGUUAGUCUCUAAGGUGCCACAAGUACUCCUUUUCUUUUUGCGAAUACAGACUAACACGGCUGUUACUCUGAAACCUGUUUACAUUAUGGAGACUGCACGGACAUAGCUGUGGUGCUGUAGCUAUGCUGGCAUAAUCCCAUAGUGUAGAUGCAGCCUACACUGAUGAAAGGGGUUUUUCUGUUGUCAUAAGAAUACCACCGCCCCAAGCAACAAUAUGUGCAUCUUCACUGGGGUUUAGGUUGGAGUAACUAUGGUAUUUAGGGGUGUGGAUUUUUCACAGCCUUAAUUUUAAGUGUAGACCGGGCCUUAGUUAGUGGCAGAGCCAGAAAUAGAACCCAGGAGUUCUGGCCUUUAGCUCCCACGCUCAUUCUAUAUUAAUCAUAAUGUAGAACUUGGAUUACUUUACCAAAAUUGAUUUUUGGUUUCUGAGUGGCAGUUCAUACAAAGGUAACUAUUUUUCAUAAAACCCAGCCAUUUCUGAGUUAAAGUGGAUGAAAGGAAGGGUGUCUUUACUUGUAAACAUUUUGUAAGUUAUAUUUGUGUUUUAAAAGUGAGUUAAAUGACAAGUGUUGUUACCUGUCACUUCAUUUACAACCCCAAGCACUUAAGAGUGAAGAAAUUAAUAGCUGCAAGAUACUGUAAAUCUUGCUCCUACACAUAUGAGAAAAUAAAUGUUAUUUUCAAAUAGAAAUGCAUAUUUCAUUAUAACACAUCAACUUGAAGUCUGGUUUGUUUUAUUAAUGCUUUUUAAAAAUAUUUUGAUAAGUACUUUCUUCAGAUUCCCUUAAAUGGGAAAACUUUGUGUUCUUUAUCAGUUGGCAUCAGUAUUUUUGGGUGAAGUGUUUCUAAUUUUUGUUUCUUGAGAAUGAUGUAUGUAGCUUAAUAGGAAAAGUGUGUUCUGUGUUUGUACAGUGCCUAGCCCAAUAAGGUCCUGGUCCAUGACAGGGGCUCCUAGCUGCUACAGGAUUACAAAUAAGUAAUAAAACAGUAUUGAUUUAUAAUAAAAUUAAGAAUGUAUGUGGACUUGCAUUUGAGACUGAUUAAUGUGUUACUGAUGCCUUUGUUUUUCAGACAUGUUUAUAUUUUGAGACUGGUGAUGAAAGAAUAUUGAUUUUUGCUUUGGAGCCAAGGUAGCUGUGAUAUGUUGCAAUAGACAUUUAUCAUAUUUAAUAAACACGUUACUCUCAAGUGGGAGUGUAAAAUGGGAUAAUCUCUAGACUAGUAAAUAUUGUUUUGAAGGGCUUUAGUGUAGUAAGUGAUAUAACAGGUAUGUACAGUGUUGUCAUUUUUUGUACCUUUUACUGCUUUUUUUAAUGAGAUUUUGUUUUUGCAUGUUUUAACAUCUUCCAGGUUUUUUAUUUUUCUUGUAGUAAAUUAACAUAAUUUUUAAAUAAAUGGGAAGGAGAAACAUGGGACUCAGUGGCCUUUUUUCCUAAUUCUGAAAGAUGCUGUGAAAAAAGCGAACCAAACACCUUCACCAUCUCGUGACUCUGUCUUGAGCAAUUGCAAUUCAGUGACCUACUGUGAGUUAAACAGUGUUAGUAGGAGUCUAUUACACUUGCCUAAAACUACUGUUGCUGUGGAAUAUAAUCCAAAUUUUGGGCUGAAUAUGAACUAUUAUAGGAUCAAAUUAAUUAAUUGUUUACUUUAAAUCCAACCAUAAAUUCCAAAGUGGAUUUUCUUUCAGGCUGCAUCCUAUCCAUAAAUCCCAUUCAUUGCCAUACUGGCUAAAGCCCAACUCAGCUGCAUUCAAAGUAAUUUUUUGCAGUUCCUUAUGCUUUUUUAAGUCAGCUGAUAAUUGACAGACUGUUACAAAAUCUCCUCUCAGAUAGGGCAUGGGAGGUUUUGUGGCUUUUGUAUUUUGAAUCUUGCAACUGUGGGCCUGGUUAGCCAUGAAAGUCACUCAGUGUAUUUUGUGUUCAGGAGGGAAUUAUCAUGGCAAGGUCUGAGUGAGUUUGCUGUGAAUAGCUGCUUAUAUAUUUUCUGACCUCUUGUUAUGUUCUCGUGCUUCCUUGCACUGGCUAAGGGUGGCUAGUCAACAGAUCAUGUCUGGAUUUUGCCUAGACAUUUGGUGGGCAUUACCAGUCAGUGGUUGAACUCUUUGCAGAGGUGGUGGAAGAAGUAAACAAGUGUCUUUUGAAAGAAAUUACCAGAGUCCGCACCUACAGUUGCAGGUAGGGUUAUAGCACAUCAUUGGAAGAAUGCAACCUCAACUGCCUUGAAAGGGAACAGGUCACAUUUAAACCUAAGCAUAGGCAAACUCCUCUCUCUCUUUUUUUUUUUUUUUCCUUCUUGGCAUCCCACAUGGUAGAUUAAAAAUUCCCAACCAGCAGAUAGGGAACAGGACAAAAGUAAAACCUGUGACCACUUAAAUAGCCACAUGAACAUGCUAAUUUUUCCUGUUACAGCAAGUGCAGAGAGCUGAUUUUGUUGAAGGACAGUGACAAUAGACAGGAACGUUUAUUGUCUUCAACUGAUAAAGACCAGAGGGGCUUCAUAUAAUCCAGGAGGCUUUCCUCUCUGUUUGGGGUACUGAGAUAGGAAGGAAAGCUUAAAAGUGUGUGCUGUAACAUGUGUAAAUCUUUUUGGUCAGUGUCCACAAACAUGGAUGCUCAGUGACCAGUUUCUGCUGAAUUGAUUAUGGAAGGGUACAUUGUGGUGGUUUUCUGCCUGGCGGAUCUGUGACAGUGUCAGAGCGGCCUCAACCUACCACAAAGAGUAUAAAGGAGAAGGACAGUCAUGAAAACUUUUCCAGAACUUUUCAGUUUUCAGUUAUUCUUCCAGCUCCUACAAGGCGGACCUGCCUCAUAAGUUUAAGUCUGUAGAGACAGGUGAUCAUCUGUCUCACAUGAUGACAAGCAGUACUGAGGGGUGUGCAAACCCCCGUGAUGGAUUUAUUGUCUUACCUAGGAGAAUAGUAUGGUUUGUGUCUUUUUCUUAUUGUGUCUUCCAUCUCCAGGUGAUUCCUGUACCACUCUCUCUUGUGCUACUGAAGACAUUAAAGAGUCCUUUAUUGUACAAGCGCAAGAACAAUGGAUCGAAUUACUAGAAAUCUCAGAGCACUUGGAUAUCACGCAAAUUAGUCACCUCUCUGCUAUACAGUGUCUGUAAAUAAAGCUCAGAAGCCAGGGGGAGUCAGAAAUGUCUGAGGAAGUUUUGGAUGAUGGCAUCGUACCAGACAUCGUAGAGUGAAGUUCCCAGAUAUGGCUCAAUUCUGAGAAUCCAUGAAUCUCUGGGGCAGUCCUGCAGGUGAUGUCAGGCAAGACAUAGACUUCAUUCAAGAGGCAGUGAGACCAUUCGUCAGUGGAUGUCCAGUUUGCUGCGACCAUUUGAACUCGUCCCCACCUGCACCAGGGUUUCUGGUAGCCCAGCUCUGAGGCCUGGUCUACACUACAGAGUUUGUUUGUUUGCAAGGCAGCUUAUGUUGACCUAAUUCUGUAAGCAUCUACACUAAAAUGUUGCUCCCACCGAUGUAACUCGCCCUCUCCACUGACUUAGUAACUCCACCUUCACGAGAGGCAUAGUGCUUAGGUCAACAUAGUUUGGUUGACACAAUAUCAGUGACACUGCGUUACUUAUGUCUACAUUAGUGGCUUCCAGGAGGUGUCCCAUGAUGCCCCAUCGUAACUGCUCUCGUCACCUUUUAGAACUCCACUGCCUGGCAGUCAGAUGCGCAUGUACAUGCCCCUCCCCCUUUAAAGCCACACAAAUUUUAAAUUCUAUUUCAUGUUUGGUUGGUGUGGAGAGCUCACAUAGCAACUGCCCAGAUGACCAUGCUAGCUCCACGCAGCAAACGUGCUCUUGCCUGGAGUACACAGCAGGUGGUGGAUCUCCUCGGUCUGUGGGGAGAAGAGGCGAUGCAGGCACAGCUCUGAUCCAUCCGUAGAAACGUUGACAUCUAUGACCAGAUCACUUGGGGCAUGGGGGAGAAGGGCUACAAAAGGGACGUGCAGCAGCGCCGUGUAAAAAUCAAGGAGCUGCAGCAGGCGUACCAGAAGGCAAGGGAGGCAAACUGUCACUCUGGUGCGGAACCGCAGACAUGCUGCUUCUACAAGGAGCUGCAAGCCUUCCUUGGUGGAGACACCACCACCAAGAGCCCCAUGGAUACUUUGGGGGAGCUGAAAUCAGAGGCCCCUGCAGUCACAACAAGCAGGAGGAGUUUUGGAGGACAGGUGAAUGGGGGAAUCCAGUGGCACAGUGAGCCAGGACCUCUUUCUGACUGCUGGAGCAGUUGAGCAAGUCCCUACUGUCCAGCACCGGUGAGCCUGAUGCAGGGGUUGGAACCUCUGCUGGAAAUUUGGCCUUGAGGGUCCCUUCAUCCACACCACUGGAACAGCUCAGAUGAUGAGAAGAAAGGGGAUGAGGGAUGACAUGUUCCAAGAGAUUCUGCAAGCCUCUGGUGUUGCACAUAUUGAGCAGAGGGCUUGGAGAAGCACCCUUGGGGACAGAAUGGAAAGAGAUAGUGCAGAGAGGAGUGACACACGCAGCAGGUCAUGAUAGCGCUUCUCAAGCUCCAGAUGGACAUGCUGGAGAUUCUUAUAGACCUUCAGGUCCAAGUAACCCUUGCUUGCCUCCCGCUGCAGUCUGUUGAUAACUGCAUUCUGGGACCUCCCUACACUCCCGGCCCCUACAUUCCACAUAUAUUUCUGGGCCAUUGCAGUACCCCUACCACUCCACCCCGAGGGAGAGUACACACAAUCCGAGCUGAACAUAUACUGACCUAUGAGAGACAUGUUGGUGUAUUUGUGUUUGAAAUGAGAAUGACUGUUCUUUCUCCUUCAAAGGUUCUUUUCCCUGUAUUUAUAUAGUUUCAUUCAGUUACAGUUAUUUUUGUUUGCAUAAGUUUGGAAUAAAAGUCUAUUUACGGAAA